GACGGGUGACUGUGAUUACAGCGAGCACUGGGGGAUGAAAUAGAAGCGGAGUGCGACCCAGUCAUUCUUGAUUCCUUGUGACAAUGACUGUGUCAAGAAGCAGCGAUUGUGGGUCAGAGGCUGUGGAGGUUUGAUUCAUGAUUUUUUUUAGUUUUGUAAUUUUUUUCUAAAUGUCACCGUAGCGUUAGCACGGGUAAUAUACUAGUG
rnacentral:lncRNA from 1 species